rnacentral:rRNA from 1 species
AUGCACGCUGGCGGCGUGCCUCAUACAUGCCAGUCGAGCGAACGGACGAGAAGCUUGCUUUUCUGAUGUUAGCGGCGGACGGGUGAGUAACACGUGGAUAACCUACCUAUAAGACUGGGAUAACUUCGGGAAACCGGAGCUAAUACCGGAUAAUAUUUUGAACCGCAUGGUUCAAAAGUGAAAGACGGUCUUGCUGUCACUUAUAGAUGGAUCCGCUCUGCAUUAGCUAGUUGGUAAGGUAACGGCUUACCAAGGCAACGAUGCAUAGCCGACCUGAGAGGGUGAUCGGCCACACUGGAACUGAGACACGGUCCAGACUCCUACGGGAGGCAGCAGUAGGGAAUCUUCCGCAAUGGGCGAAAGCCUGACGGAGCAACGCCGCGUGAGUGAUGAAGGUCUUCGGAUCGUAAAACUCUGUUAUUAGGGAAGAACAUAUGUGUAAGUAACUGUGCACAUCUUGACGGUACCUAAUCAGAAAGCCACGGCUAACUACGUG